rnacentral:other from 1 species
CACCCCCUGUAGUGUUCGACCGCUGGCUGGGUAUUUUCUUGAGCCUAUUUUGUACCCUGGGGACAUGACCACGAGGCCGUUGCGCAAGUCCGCCCCCGAGCGGAAAGCCUGAAGCCGACGCGACUGACCCCACUUGAACCUCACGGUUCAAGAACAAAGGUUAGCGACGGCACAGACGGGGGGUGU